rnacentral:tRNA from 1 species
GGGCCGUUAGCUCAAUUGGCAGAGCAGCCGGCUUUUAACCGGCGAGUUCAGGGUUCGAGUCCCUGACGGCCCACCU